rnacentral:rRNA from 1 species
GAUGAACGCUGGCGGCGUGCUUAACACAUGCAAGUCGAACGGAAAGGCCCAAGCUUGCUUGGGUACUCGAGUGGCGAACGGGUGAGUAACACGUGGGUGAUCUGCCCUGCACUUCGGGAUAAGCCUGGGAAACUGGGUCUAAUACCGGAUAGGACCACAUUUUGGAUGGUGUGGUGGAAAGUUUUUCGGUGUGGGAUGAGCUCGCGGCCUAUCAGCUUGUUGGUGGGGUAAUGGCCUACCAAGGCGUCGACGGGUAGCCGGCCUGAGAGGGUGUACGGCCACAUUGGGACUGAGAUACGGCCCAGACUCCGACGGGAGGCAGCGGUGGGGAAUAUUGCACAAUGGGCGCAAGCCUGAUGCAGCGACGCCGCGUGGGGGAUGACGGCCUUCGGGUUGUAAACUCCUUUCGCUAGGGACGAAGCGUUAUGUGACGGUACCUGGAGAAGAAGCACCGGCUAACUACGUG